rnacentral:rRNA from 1 species
GUAGGGAAUCUUGCGCAAUGGGCGAAAGCCUGACGCAGCCAUGCCGCGUGAAUGAUGAAGGUCUUAGGAUUGUAAAAUUCUUUCACCGGGGACGAUAAUGACGGUACCCGGAGAAGAAGCCCCGGCUAACUUCGUGCCAGCAGCCGCGGUAAUACGAAGGGGGCUAGCGUUGCUCGGAAUUACUGGGCGUAAAGGGAGCGUAGGCGGAUAGUUUAGUCAGAGGUGAAAGCCCAGGGCUCAACCUUGGAAUUGCCUUUGAUACUGGCUAUCUUGAGUAUGGAAGAGGUAUGUGGAACUCCGAGUGUAGAGGUGAAAUUCGUAGAUAUUCGGAAGAACACCAGUGGCGAAGGCGACUCACUGGCCCGUUACUGACGCUGAGGCGCGAAAGCGUGGGGAGCAAACAGGAUUAGAAACCCCUGUAGUCC